rnacentral:rRNA from 1 species
AGCAGCCGCGGUAAUUCCAGCUCCAAUAGCGUAUAUUAAAGUUGUUGCAGUUAAAAAGCUCGUAGUUGAAUUUCGGGGUCAGUAGGUCGGUCGUGCCACUGGUAUGAACUGGUUUUACUGAUUCCUCCCUCUUGAAGAACUGUAAUGCCAUUAAUUUGGUGUUGCAGGGAAUCAGGACUGUUACUUUGAAAAAAUUAGAGUGUUUAAAGCAGGCUUUAGCUUGAAUACAUUAGCAUGGAAUAAUGAAGUUGGAUCCCUAUUUUGUUGGUUUCUAGGAUUGACGUAAUGAUUAAUAGGGAUAGUUGGGGGCAUUAGUAUUCAAUUGUCAGAGGUGAAAUUCUUGGAUUUAUUGAAGACUAACUACUGCGAAAGCAUUUGCCAAGGAUGUUUUCAUUAAUCAAGAACGAAAGUUAGGGGAUCGAAGACGAUCAGAUACCGUCGUAGUCUUACAUUAACUAUGCGACUAGGGAUCGAUGAUGUAAUUUUUAAUGACUCA